GAUGUUAGCGGCGGACGGGUGAGUAACACGUGGAUAACCUACCUAUAAGACUGGGAUAACUUCGGGAAACCGGAGCUAAUACCGGAUAAUAUUUUGAACCGCAUGGUUCAAAAGUGAAAGACGGUCUUGCUGUCACUUAUAGAUGGAUCCGCGCUGCAUUAGCUAGUUGGUAAGGUAACGGCUUACCAAGGCAACGAUGCAUAGCCGACCUGAGAGGGUGAUCGGCCACACUGGAACUGAGACACGGUCCAGACUCCUACGGGAGGCAGCAGUAGGGAAUCUUCCGCAAUGGGCGAAAGCCUGACGGAGCAACGCCGCGUGAGUGAUGAAGGUCUUCGGAUCGUAAAACUCUGUUAUUAGGGAAGAACAUAUGUGUAAGUAACUGUGCACAUCUUGACGGUACCUAAUCAGAAAGCCACGGCUAACUACGUGCCAGCAGCCGCGGUAAUACGUAGGUGGCAAGCGUUAUCCGGAAUUAUUGGGCGUAAAGCGCGCGUAGGCGGUUUUUUAAGUCUGAUGUGAAAGCCCACGGCUCAACCGUGGAGGGUCAUUGGAAACUGGAAAACUUGAGUGCAGAAGAGGAAAGUGGAAUUCCAUGUGUAGCGGUGAAAUGCGCAGAGAUAUGGAGGAACACCAGUGGCGAAGGCGACUUUCUGGUCUGUAACUGACGCUGAUGUGCGAAAGCGUGGGGAUCAAACAGGAUUAGAUACCCUGGUAGUCCACGCCGUAAACGAUGAGUGCUAAGUGUUAGGGGGUUUCCGCCCCUUAGUGCUGCAGCUAACGCAUUAAGCACUCCGCCUGGGGAGUACGACCGCAAGGUUGAAACUCAAAGGAAUUGACGGGGACCCGCACAAGCGGUGGAGCAUGUGGUUUAAUUCGAAGCAACGCGAAGAACCUUACCAAAUCUUGACAUCCUUUGACAACUCUAGAGAUAGAGCCUUCCCCUUCGGGGGACAAAGUGACAGGUGGUGCAUGGUUGUCGUCAGCUCGUGUCGUGAGAUGUUGGGUUAAGUCCCGCAACGAGCGCAACCCUUAAGCUUAGUUGCCAUCAUUAAGUUGGGCACUCUAAGUUGACUGCCGGUGACAAACCGGAGGAAGGUGGGGAUGACGUCAAAUCAUCAUGCCCCUUAUGAUUUGGGCUACACACGUGCUACAAUGGACAAUACAAAGGGUAGCGAAACCGCGAGGUCAAGCAAAUCC
rnacentral:rRNA from 1 species